rnacentral:lncRNA from 1 species
ACUUCACAUGUGUUAUAGGGCAAAAUGGAGUUGAGUCCAAAGCAUAUUGGGAAAUAUUUAUUUAUUUUUUGCUGGGAUAAGAUAUUCAGCAUGAUUUUACUAAUGAAAAUACAUAUAGCACUUUUCUAUAGUUAUUUCUUUUAGCAUGUAGCGUAACCUCUUCGUAAUAUACUGAAGCUUAGCAAAUUAGCAAGGUUACAGUAUAAGUUAUGCUUGAUUGAGUUGGAAACGUUUUGCGCAAAAUAGACGUAAAAACAGACUUUGAAACUCAAGAUUUAUAUUGUAGGAGACUAAAGUUGAAUACUGUAGUAAGUGAGGGGCUUUUGGACAAUUGUUGCCUUUCAACCUUAUCCCCACGGCCUUAAUUAGGAUAGGGAGGCUGUGAGGGAUUUAAUUAACUUUCUCCUCUUUCUCUCUCUAAUUUAGCUCGUGGGCUUGGUGGAGAGCUCGAGCUCGGGAGAUUUUCGUCGUCGUUUCGGAGAGCCGUUCGAGCGUGUGUUCGUCGUGGUAGCACUGUGGGGAGGCCGGGCGAGGGUGCGGUUUUGCUUCUUUCGACUCCUCGCCGUUGUUGGACGCGUUUUCGAGGCGGGUUAAAAUGAUGCUUACCGAAUUCUAUGGGAUUCCUCCUAAUGCUAUAUAUGUCGACAACAUAUAUUUUUAGCUUUGUUUAGUAUAUUGGUUAGCUCGAUUCUUGGAAUUUCAUGCCUAUGAACUUGAAUUGGAGCGUAGAAAACUAGCUAAAAUAUGCAUGUUGGACUUGGAUUUGACUUAGGAGAAAACUGAUGUUUCUACACCACCAUUUGAACAAACUACCAGAUUUAGCUUUAGGAGCCGUAAUUUGAUUGUAUCACCGCAGUUUAUGGGCGGUGGAUAUCCAGAAUAGUGUAGAAUAUAUUUACGCUCGUGCUGAGGUGCCGAGUGUAUUUUUACAGCAGUGUUUAGGCUGUUCAGAAUUGUCGGGUGCUGUUGAGGUUAACGGUGGACCCAGAUUGCUAUUUUUGCAUCAGAUUGUGUCGAGGGCAUGUGAGUUCAGUUGUUAGACCCUAUUUACUUGAUUAUAGCCUGUGAGAGCCUGAUUGAGCUCGACAGAGAUAUGUUUGCAUACACGGUUGGAUAGCGCCCAUGAGUGCCACUCCGGAGUCGGGCUUUGUGCGUUUACGUUGGUAUCGUUGUGUCCUGGUUGGACUUGCUCUCCGCGGAUUGCUUAGUGUGGAGAUAGCUAUUUAGCUUCGACAGGCUGGGACGGGUGUUUUCACAGUCCCUGGGACGGAUGUGUUCACAGUCCCCGAUGAGAAUGGGUCAGAUUGUACUUUUCUACAGAUAGUGGGUGAUAGACCGGAAUAGUAUAGGUGCAUAUAGCUGUAGAUUUAUUCCAGCUUUCUUACUAUUCUUGUUUACAUCUAUAGACUUAGUGGGUGAGUCGUUGGGGUUGGUAGCGGUACCCACUGAGGACUACUUUUUGCAGUAGUUCUCACGCCCAGUUAUUGUAAUCUUUUGCAGAGCCUUCUUUUUCGGCUGUUGCUGCUGCUGAUUCGGACUGUGGAAAGGGAGUCGCGAAUUAUAUCCCUUCCCAGUUGCUGCUGAGCUAGAAUAUACCAGCUACAGAUAGUGGUAGUUUUUGAGUUCAUAUACAUACUUAUGUUGUAUCUCGCUGGAGCGAGCGUUUUGUAUACCUGGAUUUGAUGUAUGUAUCGUGAACUUCUGUUUUUAUAUUUGUUCUCUUUUAGCAGCUCUAUACUACUGGUUGUAGUAUUGUAUGAUUACAGGUACAGCUAUCGCUUCGUAUACAGAAAAAAUUUCUUUGUAUAUGGCGGAUUUGUCGGCGUGCCCGAAAAAACGAGUAAUUCGGGGCGUGACACUCUUAGCAAUCAUAAAUUAGAUAAAUAAUUUGGCUCGUUCCGGUUUAGAAGCUUGAAAUGAAAAGUAAAAUAAUAAAACAAAUGAACCAAAUAGAUAGAAUUAAUUAAUUUUUUAAAAAUUUAAUAUUAUAUUAAUUAUAAGCCUAUAAAAAACUAUAUUAAUAUCCUAGAUAAUAAUCAAUAAUUAGAAAAUUCAACUAUUAUUAUCUUCAAAU